GCCUUCGUGGUGUAGUGGUCUGCAUGCUCGAAGCAUAACCGAGAGGUCCGUGGUUCGAUUCCCGGUGAAGGCA
rfam:Stegodyphus mimosarum contig95871, whole genome shotgun sequence.